UGUCGUAUUGAUAGCAUAGAGGACACACCUGUUCCCAUCCCGAACACAGAAGUUAAGCUCUAUCACGCCGAAAGUAGUUGC
rnacentral:rRNA from 1 species